UUCCUACGGGACGCAGCAGUGGGGAAUAUUGCACAAUGGGCGAAAGCCUGAUGCAGCAACGCCGCGUGAAGGAAGACGGUUUUCGGAUUGUAAACUUCUGUUCUUAGUGAAGAAAAAUGACGGUAGCUAAGGAGCAAGCCACGGCUAACUACGUGCCAGCAGCCGCGGUAAUACGUAGGUGGCAAGCGUUGUCCGGAAUUACUGGGUGUAAAGGGAGCGUAGGCGGGAAACCAAGUCAGCUGUGAAAACUACGGGCUUAACCUGUAGACUGCAGUUGAAACUGGCUUUCUUGAGUGAAGUAGAGG
rnacentral:rRNA from 1 species